CCUACGCGUGGCAGCAGUGGGGAAUAUUGCGCAAUGGGCGAAAGCCUGACGCAGCGACGCCGCGUGAGGGAUGAAGGUCUUCGGAUCGUAAACCUCUGUCAGCAGGGAAGAACGGUCACUGUGCUAAUCAGCAGUGAAUUGACGGUACCUGCAAAGGAAGCACAGGCUACCUACGUGCCAGCAGCCGCGGUAAUACGGAGGGUGCGAGCGGUAAUCGGAAUUACUGGGCGUAAAGCGCUCGUAGGUGGUAUGUCAAGUCAAGGGUGAAAGCCCCGCGCUCAACGUGGGAACUGCCUUUGAAACUGGGCAACUGGAGUGUGUGAGAGGAUAGUGGAAUUCCAGGUGUAGGAGUGAAAUCCGUAGAUAUCUGGAGGAACAUCAGUGGCGAAGGCGACUAUCUGGCACAUAACUGACGCUGAGGAGCGAAAGCGUGGGUAGCAAACAGGAUUAGAUAACCCUGGUAGUC
rnacentral:rRNA from 1 species